CAGGGGGACACAAACACCCCCUUAACCAGCGUUUCAUUUCUCCCCUUGGGAAGCAGGUCUGUCCCCGCAGAGGCUCCAUCAUCCCCUUCCCGAGGCGUCUGCAGAGCAACCAGCAGAGUUAGCUGGAAGAAACGAUGGACUCCAAGUGGGGAGAGCCCUCUCUGGAGCAGAAGGUUUUGGACGUGCCCGCGAUGGAGAAAAAAAAGGUGUCUGAAGCCGAGUUCAGGAGACUGCAGAGAGAGUUUCAGAGAGCAGCGGAGAAGAGGAAAUCUUACGGUGCCAACGUGAGGCAGCAAAUGCAGGCUCAGGA